rnacentral:misc_RNA from 1 species
AAGUCGUAACAAGGUUUCCGUAGGUGAACCUGCGGAAGGAUCAUUAUUAAACGCGAAGCCAUCACUGGCCUAGCUUUAUAAUCCUUAUUACACCUGUGCACCUUAUUGUCUUCGGACAAUCUUUACAAACAACAGUGUAACGAAUGUAAACUAUUAUAAAAUAAUACAA